CACUUGCGCGCGGAGUCGUCGCAGCCGCCGGAAUUCUUUUCCACGCGCCGCGGAGCUCCCCGCCGCGGAACGGAAUCCGGGGCAGGGCGGCGUGCGGGCUCCGCGCCGAUCGCGCUCUCCCGCCCGAGUGCUAGGCUCCCGGGACGAGCAGCCCGCCCGCCCCCGGCCCUCCCCGCUCCUGUCCAGCAGGCAGCCCGCCGCCGCUGCCCCGGCCGCUGCGGAGCUGGCGAGAAGGCUUCCGACUUGGAGCCUCCGGCUGCCGAGCAUGCCCAGUCCGCGGCGGAGCCGGGUCGGCUUCCCGCGCGACGCCGGUCCGUUCCUCCGGGUGUUCCCGGCGGCCGGGGGGCGGGGACCGCGGACGCUCGACCGGGGACCCAGCGGAGUCCCGCAGGACAGCGAGUGGGGUGAACUGGGGUGCGGGGGAGAUGGAGGGAGGGGGUCCUUUUCUCUUUCGUUUCAAGCAACGGGAACUGGAGAGGCGGGCGCUUUUCCCCACGACGAGAAGGACCCAGAUGGUGGGUUUCAUCCUCCGGGAUCAGAUGCCCAAUUAGGGCCAGCCCGAGAUUUGUACGGCUAGAGCUGGCCAGGGGGCUGAGAAACCACCAUCGGGGACAGCAGUUUGCGAACUGCACUGGGAUUUCCUUCCCCAACAAGCCCAAGAGCUGCGACACUUGUGACUGAUUCAUGAUUGAGCAUUUAAAAUGGAUGGUCCUCAAACUCUUCGGAAGAGUUCCUUCCCAAAGCUCUAAUCCUUACACUCCCACCUUCCCCCAAAAUCGGGGGUCCGCCGGUUUCCUAAAAAGCACGCAGCGCCAGGCAGCUCGGAGGCCCCGGAGGUCUCCCGCAGUCUCGGAGCACCGGGCCGCCUAGUCCGGCCGGGCCCCACCUCCCGCCGCCGCUCGGAGCUGCGGCGAAAACCUGGAGAGCGCCGCACCAGAGCCGGAGCACUGCGCAUGCCCAAUGGCCCCACGGGGUGCGGGUCGCCCGCAGAUUUCCUCCUGCUCUCACAGCGGAACCCAGCACGGGGACCCGGAUCGCGCGGUGGAGACAGCAGCCUCCCCCGGCACCCGGGCUUCUGGGUCUGCCCGCGCGUGCCGCAGUGACACGGGUCGCCCUGGGGGCGCUGCCCGCAGGGUCUGGUCUGGGGGCGGGGGUGGGAGGGAGGACCAGGAGCGGCCCUGCCUGUGUGACACGUGACUGUCCGCCGCGCUCCGGGGCAGCCAUCUUCCGCCCUGCGGGGACCGCUGGCGAGGAACGGUCCGGGAUCCGGUGGCUCUCGACCCAGCAGCUUCCCCACCAGGCCCGGGUCCCCGCCCUCACCUGCCUCCGCGGGGCUACUGCGUGGGUGCCGCUGCGCUGGCACUCGAUCCCCGGGAGGACGGGCUGUCUCCGGAGCCAGAACCCAAAGGCUGAGAAUUGGAGAGCAGCUCUCCUGGGCUGACGGCGUCUGCUUUUCCCCAGGGGCGGAAGUUAGAAGAGGAGUUCUCGUUCCUGAGGCGCCGGUACCGCUCCCACUGCUUCCCUGUUGUGACCCAUUCCCGGCGACGGGAGGAUGGAGGUGGCGGAAGACGUCAGGACCGCCGCCGCUCCCCUCCAUGCAUUUCCCCUGCCGCCGGUCAGGUUCCAUGGUGAUGCUGUUAUAGUCACUUGGUGUCCCUGAAAUCUCUGGACCCUCGACCUCACCACCCGAGGAUGCAUUACCACACCUAGACCCACGGAAUCAGAAACGCUAUUGGUGGGGUCCUCCCUGAAAUCUGGUUAACAAGCCCUCAGGGUGAACCUAAAUGCCGCUUUCCCUAAGCCCUUGAGACCCGUUUUCAUGUGAGACGCUGAAAACUUGGGAAAAAACGGAUUCAAAAUGCAGCCUGCUCCUGGCCAGGCGCUUGGGGUCUCUCGUCCUCUCCUGCAUCCCUGGCCUCUUCACCCCAGGACACUAUGCUACUGCACUUACACCGUGUUUUUACAUGACAACAGACAUUCAGUUCAGUUUGGAGUGUCAACCAAGAGCAGGAGAGUGCCUGAGCGGCUUAGUAGCCCCACUGGGUAUUAAACAUCAGUUUAAAAGAUAAAAGGAAGGCUUGCUGGUUUUUGACAUGAGUGCUGGACAGCCACUGGCUACUUCGCACUUGCUGUAACCGAGGUCAAAUCCGAUGAGUGGUGAAGACUGGAGGAGUUCCUCAGCACUUGAAAAUACAUGCUGUUCUUCAAGAGACUCUAGUUCAGUUCCCAGCACCCCACCUUGCAACUGACAACCAUCUGUAAUUCCAGCUGCAAGGGAUCUCGUGCCCUCUUCUGGCUGUAGAGAGCACCAAUCAUGCAUGUGUGUAGACAGGCAAACAAUUAUACAUAAAUAAUAAAUCUCUUUAAGAAAUAAAAGAAUCCUUACACCAUUCCUUAUCAAAAUCAUGAUAAGAAACAUUAAUUUUUUAAAAAAAUUUAGGUUUCUGAAGUACAUGGACUAGCACAGAUAGUGUUGGAACAGCUAACACAGAAAAAUGAAACACCACCAAGUCAGUCUGUCAUGCUAAAAAUAAUACCAAGAACAAGUACUGAGAUAUACACUUCACUUGCCAAAGUGCCUAAUCUAAGUAAAAAGUAAGAGUUUUAUCCAUUGACCUGUAAGUAGCAGUCCCCACUUACUAGAGAGUAGCCAAGCCACACCAUGCUCCAGAACUAAGGGGCCUUCAUUGUAUCACCAUGGAAAUGUUCCUUUCUGAAGAAUCCAGAGACACACAGCCUGAGCAGCAGGCGCAAGGCUUAACAGCCUCCUCGUCCCUUUAAAUACAUCUGGUCAACCUACAACCUGGGUUCAAAAUCAAGCUGUGGGUGGGGAGCCAGCUGCCUAUGACUAGGCUCCCUCCAAGUAUUUGCCCUAAGGAGUAAAUACGUGAAAAAUCUGCCCUCUGAAUUUAUUCCUGUGCCUCCGCCUAACAUUCCUGGCUUCACUAUUGCUUGGCUUUUUUUAUUGGUCAACAAAAACUGGGAUUUUUUGGCCAUACUUGGGUAGAUGAAGGAUUCAGCCCAAUUCCUCCUUGUACAUAAGAUAUCUUUCCCUAUAUAUUAAAUGCUGUAUGAUGGAUAUGUAUUAUCUCUGAUCUUUUUGGGUAUCUAGCAAGUGGGUGUCACUCAACCCUUAGUAAAUAGUUGCUGAACCAUAACUUACUCUAUUUUCUAUUUUUAUUUCUCUGUGCUGCAGUUUGGCAUGAAAAGGAUAAAUACAAAAAAUGGAAAUGUCUUUGUUAUGUUAUCCCUUCCGAUUAGAAACCUUUUCAAUCUCCCAUGUAUAUUUAAAGGGAUUUUCAAAUUAGACAUUUAUGACUGGUGUGAUGUUAAAUGAGGAUGGCCUCCAUGGACUCAUAUGUUUGAAUUGGUCCUUAGUUAAUGGAACUGUUUGGGAAGGGUUAGGAGGUGUGAUCUUAUUGUAGGAAGUGUGUCACUGGGAGAAGCCCAUGCUGUGUCCCAGUUAGCAAUACCCCUCUCCAUCUCCCUCUACUUCUCCCUCUCUGCUUCCUGUUUGUGACUCAGUAAGCUCUCAGCUAUGCCCCAACACCAUGACUGCCCUCCUGCUGCCAUGCUCCUGCCACUAUGGACAUGGACUCUAGCCCUUUCACUGUAAGCCCUCAAUUAAAGUCUUUCUUUUAUAUGUUGCCUUUACCAUGGUGUUUUGUCAUGGCAACAGAAAAGUAACUAAGACUUUAAGUAACUAACAAGGGUCAGAUAAACAGAUGGCAUCUACAGAGUGGCUGCCCAGCUUGGUAGAUAUGCUACCCCUAUCAAAACCACCACUUUGCUCCUGGCUUUACAAGUAAUCAGUGUGUAACUUCAGGCAGGUUUAAUUCUUGCCUCUUGAAAUGAGAAUGCUGUACCCCUCUUUUCUUCCAUGGGUAUCAUGAAAAUUAUUUAGAUCUUUAAUAUAAAUAUAUAUGUCUGUAAAAUCUUACAGACAAUUAGAGGUGAGCAUAAUAAAAACAUGAAAUAUUGUUUAA
rnacentral:lncRNA from 1 species